rnacentral:rRNA from 1 species
CCCUUAGAUGUCCUGGGCCGCACGCGCGCUACACUGAGUGUCUGAGAUACGAGUCUGCCUGGUCCGGCAAGGUCUAGGUAAUCGCUAAAAGACACAUCAUGCUUGGGAUAGAUUAUUGCAAAUAUUAAUCUUGAACGAGGAAUUCCUAGUAAGCGCAAGUCAACAGCUUGCGUUGAUUACGUCCCUGCCCUUUGUACACACCGCCCGUCGCUCCUACUGAUUGGGUGAUCCGGUGAGCUGUUCGGCCAUAGCAAUGUUUCUUGAGCAGGGCAAUGAAUGUUUCGCAAACCUUGCCACUUAGAGGAAGGAGAAGUCGUAACA